UUCCCUCCGAAGUUUCCCUUAGGAUAGCUGGAGCCCUUAGCGAGUUUUAUCGGGUAAAGCCAAUGAUUAGAGGCAUCGGGGGCGCAACGCCCUCGACCUAUUCUCAAACUUUAAAUAGGUAGGACGGUGCUGCUGCUUCAUUGAGCCGCGCCACGGAAUCGAGAGCUCCAAGUUGGCAAUUUUUGGUAAGCAGAACUGGCGAUGCGGGAUGAACCAGAAGCCGGGUUACGGUGCCCAACUGCGCGCUAACCUAGAACCCACAAAGGGUGUUGGUCGAUUAAGACAGCAGGACGGUGGUCAUGGAAGUCGAAAUCCGCUAGGGAGUGUGUAACAACUCACCUGCCGAAUCAAUUAGCCCCGAAAAUGGAUGGCGCUUAAGCGCGCGACCUAUACCCGACCGUUAGGGCAAGAGCCAGGCCCCGAUGAGUAGGAGGGCGCGGCGGUCGCCGCAAAACCUGGGGUGUGAGCCCGGGCAGAGCGGCCGUCGGUG
rnacentral:ncRNA from 1 species